rnacentral:rRNA from 1 species
CGGGCCGUGGGGGUAUCUCACGGUCAGCGGCGGACGGGUGAGUAACGCGUGGGUGACCUACCCGGAAGAGGGGGACAACAUGGGGAAACCCAGGCUAAUCCCCCAUGUGGACACAUCCUGUGGGGUGUGUUUAAAGGGUUUUGCCCGCUUCCGGAUGGGCCCGCGUCCCAUCAGCUAGUUGGUGGGGUAAGAGCCCACCAAGGCGACGACGGGUAGCCGGUCUGAGAGGACGGCCGGCCACAGGGGCACUGAGACACGGGCCCC